rnacentral:rRNA from 1 species
GACGAACGCUGGCGGCGUGCCUAAUACAUGCAAGUCGAACGAACCGCGACUAGGUGCUUGCACUUGGUCAAGGUGAGUGGCGAACGGGUGAGUAACACGUGGGUAACCUACCUCAUAGUGGGGGAUAACAGUCGGAAACGACUGCUAAUACCGCAUAGGACAUAGGAUCACAUGAUUCUGUGAGGAAAGGUGGCGCAAGCUAUCGCUAAGGGAUGGACCCGCGGUGCAUUAGCUAGUUGGUAGGGUAAAGGCCUACCAAGGCGAUGAUGCAUAGCCGACCUGAGAGGGUGAUCGGCCACAUUGGGACUGAGACACGGCCCAAACUCCUACGGGAGGCAGCGGUAGGGAAUCUUCCGCAAUGGACGCAAGUCUGACGGAGCAACGCCGCGUGAGUGAAGAAGGUCUUCGGAUCGUAAAGCUCUGUUGUUAGAGAAGAACAGCGCAUAGAGUAACUGUUAUGCGUGUGACGGUAUCUAACCAGAAAGCCACGGCUAACUACGUG